UUUCGCCUGUUUUAUCAAAAACAUGUCUUUACGGAGAGAUGUAAAGUCUAGCCUGCCCACUGAGUUUAAUUAAAGGGCCGCGGUAAUUUGACCGUGCGAAGGUAGCAUAGUAAUUAGUCUUUUAAUUGGAGGCUAGAAUGAACGGCUGGACGAUGGAAAGCUUUCUUAUUGAGUAGUAUUGAAUUUUACUUUUGUGUGAAAAGGCAUAGAUGAAUUGGGGGGACGAUAAGACCCUAUAAAACUUUAUAAUUACUGAUUCUAGUUUUGAAUAAUUAAUGGGGGUAGGGUUAGUAUUAUUGUGCUGGGGUGGCUGAGUUAAAAAUUAAAUAAACUGACUUUAAAAUAAAAAUAAAUCUCUUUAGAUAGUGACCCUGUAAUAUAGGUUAUAAGUUUAAGUUACUUUAGGGAUAACAGCGUAAUUUCUUUUGAGAGUUCUUAUCGACAGAGUAAGUUGCGACCUCGAUGUUGAAUUAAAAUUUUCCCCAGGAGUAGAAAUUUGGGUGAUAGGUCUGUUCGACCUAUAAUAUUUUACAUGAUUUGAGUUCAAACCGGUGUGAGCCAGGUUGGUUUCUAUCUA
rnacentral:rRNA from 1 species